AGGAAAGGAGCGAGAGGACAUAGAGAACUGGCCGAAGAAAAGAGACAGGGAGAAGUGGGGCCAGCUGACUACCGCACAGCCUUCCUCCCAAGGCUCCUUCUGGCGUGCCUGGAGCAAUUUCAAAUGCCUUUACUUUCUCAGAAACUGACUUCCUCCUAGGACCCACACAAGUGGCCCUCCCCUUGGGGUUUCUGCAGUGUGUUCAGGUCUCACCCCACCCCCAUUUCAGCUGGCUUAACCACCAGACCUGUCAAGGUCUUGGCCUUGGGGAGCCUCCCACCCUUGCAAGGAGGCUUCAGUAAUGACACCAAGUGGAGGAUGGGAAGGGGGCAGAAGGGAUGGGCCUCGGCUCUCUCUCACUUCACUUUUUCUGUAGCGUUAUUGACCCGUCAUUAGUUAUCCGUCCAAGGUCGCCAGGUCUGGCCCAGCCAUAAAUCACCGCCGCUGGGGGGGGGGGGGGGGCGGGGGCGGGGGGGGGGGAGAAGUUGGGGGACUAGAGGAGCGAAGGAGUCAGUGCUGAACGCGGCCCGGAAGGGUAGCAGCAGACGUCCCUCAGGCUCAUAGGGACCCGCCCCAGCCCUUGUGACCGUCCUUCUCGGCUCCCUCCCAACCCCGGGCUGCCCAGCGUGCCUGUCCCUCGGCCACUCUCUCCUGUCUCCGUCCAUCUCUUUCACCGCUGAAGUGUGUUUAGAUGGCUGCGCCAAGAAAAGGGUAACCAGAUUGUCCUCGGUCAUCUCCCUCAUAGCUCUUCCAGGUUAUAGCUUCCAUCAACAAGAACAGAAAUCCUGAAGGGGAAACUGAGGCACGGAGUCCUGACCCGAGAUGAGUCUGAGAAGAAGUCUCACCCGAUUCUCUCCUCGGUCACUUCAGUCCCUCCCUACUCCAGACGGAUGCUGCAAGGGUCUCUCCGCCCUCAGAAGGGAGUGGAUCUGCGUCUGCACCGGGCGGGACCUGCACUCGAGGAGCCGGACCCUUUCCCUAGCGCCCGGGUCCUAGAGGAGCGUGGCUUGGCCCUCCUCUCAAGAGCUCGCCCGGCUUAGCAGCGGACCUCUUCGCCGGUCCUCGCGCACCCUCUGCCGGCGCCUCUCAGGAAACGCGCUCGCUGUCCCCGCCCUGGAUAUUCCCGUCCCGUAGGACAGACGGAGGGCAGCCGGGAGCUCUGCAUGCCCCUGCUUUUGGAACACUCCUUGCACCAAGAUUCCAGAAAAUUCCUUUGUCUAUUCAAAACUGGAGGAGCGAGGACAAGAGAGCUGAACUUGAGGCAGGCCAGGCUCGGAGCAUAUGGGUCAGUCAUCCAUCACCUGCCACCUCCCUAGAGACCUUGGCAGGCCAGGCAGCUGGGGCUACCAUAGUGAAACCCAGUCUCAAAGCCAAACUGAACCCUGGUUUCAGGGCAGUCAGCGUCAACUCUCUCUGCAGAUUUGAGGGACGAGAGGAAAGGAGGGGAGACAAAAGGCUCAGUGAGAUCUGUGCGGAGCGGAACAAGGGAAUCAGCUGGGCGGA
rnacentral:lncRNA from 1 species